rnacentral:rRNA from 1 species
GACAGAGGGUGCAAGCGUUGUUCGGAAUUAUUGGGCGUAAAGGGCGCGUAGGCGGCCUUGCAAGUCAGAUGUGAAAUCCCAGGGCUCAACCCUGGAAGUGCAUCUGAUACUGCUUGGAUUGAGUCCCGGAGAGGGUGGUGGAAUUCCCAGUGUAGAGGUGAAAUUCGUAGAUAUUGGGAGGAACACCGGUGGCGAAGGCGACCACCUGGACGGAGACUGACGCUGAGGCGCGGAAGCGUGGGGAGCAAACAGG